AGGAAUCUUUCUGAUUGUAGCAAGACAAAGAGAGAAGGGGGAAAGGGAGAUGAAGUUGGAGGAAGUUUUUGGAGAUGGGAGGGCUGGCAAAGAAAUGAUGGUGUCCCUCUUUCAGGGCCACUUUACUUUGCCGACUCCCCCCAUUCCAAGGAUUUCCUUUGGUUCCUCUCUUUCCCCUCUGCAGCUCUCCUCCCAGUUUAUAAUCCAGCAAAUUGUUUCUUCUUCGUUUUACGGUUAUCAUAAAGAUGAGUGAGAAUCUAUUAGAUCUGAGGGUGAUUGGAAAGGAUGAACGUUUGUUUAUGUUCCAUGAUGAAACGAAGCUUGAUCUGUGUCAUGGCCUUGCCGGAGGAGCUUGGAUCUUAGGGUUUACUGUAGAAGAUGGAAACGGCGCGGCCAAUAAUACCUUGGAAGAAUAUCGUUAGGGCUACUUGCUUGAUUGCUGAACAGUGAUUAUUGAAACUAGUCAAUGGCUGGAUUGUUCCUUUGUUUGUGCAACAUUAUUUAUUUAAAAGGUUUUAAAUACUUUUUAGCAUCUUUAACAACUUUGUGUUUUUUGCCAAUCGGUUUUCAUUUGUGUAUAGAUUACCAUGGAGUCUUUAUCCUGUAGAGAUAAAAACGGAGAUAGCCACUUCCGUCUAUUUGAAGAAAAUUUACAUCAGCACUUCUAAAAACUCGACAUGGGACAUGGGACAAUAUACCUAAUUAAAAAUUA